rnacentral:lncRNA from 1 species
CCUAACAUGAUCAUCUCACUAUAAAAUAGCUAUAAUUCCUGGAGGACAUUUAUCAGUUCUAGAAAGUUCUGUUCUAAUACUGUAUACUGCAAGGUUUUUCUCCAGAAUUUAUGUAUAGAAGGGUCUUUUGCUUGAACAACUGGCCACAAGAAAAUAUAUGUGUAAAAAGGUGGAAUGGAAUGACAAGGAGUUUCUGUUGUUUUUGUGUUUUCAUACCAGGCAAAACAUUUGGGAAAAGUCCAUAUGACAUUUCUUGGGAAGCUAUGAUUCUAUAUAUCUUCUUUUAUAAUACUUAUGUCUUAACACUUCUCUCAUUGUAAAGAGAAAAUUAUGUGAACAGUUGAGAUGUUGGGUGUCUGUCAGUUUGGGCAUCUGUAACAAAUUAUCAUUGACUGAGUGGCUUAAAACACAUAUAUGUCUCACAGGUUGGGGAGCCUUAGAUCAAAGCACUACCAUGUCUGGUAUCUCUCCUGGCUUACAGAUGGCCAUGUAUUCUCAUAUGGGAGAGAGAGACCGAGAGAGGAAGAGAGAGGACAAAAGACUGUGCAAGCUCAUCUGUCUCUUAUGAGGACACUAAUCCAAUUCAUGAGAGCUCCACUAAUUGCCAUGACCUAACUGCCUCGCAAAGGUUCUACCUCCUAAUACCAUCACAUUGGAGGUUAGGGUUGCAAUAUAUGGAUUUGAAGGGUGGGAGCCCAAAUAUUCAGUCUACCACAGAUGGUAACCAAAUAAAAAAUGUUCAUUAUUACUACAAGCUACAAGAUUUUUCUACAACUAUCAAAAAAUUUGUUCCAAAACUACUGUGACAAUUUCUUCAUCUAAUCAUAGGGUAAAGGAGCUGAAGAAAAAAAAAGCUGUUCUUUGGCUGAAGAUAGAAACAGAAAAGAAAAGAAAAAAAGAAGAAAAAGAAAGAAAAGAAAAAAGAAAAAAGAAAAGAAAAAGAAAAAAAAGAAAAGAAAAGAAAAAAAGAAAAGAAAAGAAAAAAAGAAAGAAAGAAAAGAAAAGAAAAGAAGAGAAAAGAAAAGAAAAGAAGAAAAGAGUAUUCUCCAGUGAAGAAAGCAUUAAUUGCCCUGCAAAGGAAGAGAUACAGGUCAUAAGCCUCACUUUCCCAUUCUAUUUUAUAAGGCUUCUUUUAGUAUAUCUUUCAAGUGAAAAGUUCAAGUAGAUGACUUUUGGUUCCACUCAAAUUUAACAGCCGUUCACACUGAGUGGAGUGUGAAUAUGUGUUGCCAUUGAUUUUCAUUAAUAAGACUGUUUUGAUCAAAUUCUAAUACAUGUUAGCUAGUCCAACAACUUUUACAUGAUCUAAAAAAUAAAGAAAAUAGCUUACAAAUACA